rnacentral:rRNA from 1 species
GUGACGGUAUCUUCAGAAGAAGUCCCGGCUAACUACGUGCCAGCAGCCGCGGUGAUACGUAGGGGACAAGCGUUGUCCGGAAUUAUUGGGCGUAAAGCGCGUGUAGGCGGCCAAGUAAGUCUUACGUGAAAUCCUGAGGCUCAACCUCAGGCCUGCGCGGGAUACUGCUUGGCUAGAGUCCGGAAGAGGAGAGUGGAAUUCCUGGUGUAGCGGUGGAAUGCGCAGAUAUCAGGAGGAACAUCCGUGGCGAAGGCGGCUCUCUGGGACGGUACUGACGCUGAGACGCGAAAGCGUGGGGAGCGAACAGGAUUAGAUACCCUGGUAGUCCACGCCGUAAACGAUGGGUGCUAGGUGUGGGAGGUGUCGAUUCCUUCCGUGCCGAAGCUAACGCAUUAAGCACCCCGCCUGGGGAGUACGGUCGCAAGACUAAAACUCAAAGGAAUUGACG